rnacentral:rRNA from 1 species
AACGAACGCUGGCGGCAUGCCUAACACAUGCAAGUCGAACGAGACCUUCGGGUCUAGUGGCGCACGGGUGCGUAACGCGUGGGAACCUGCCCUUAGGUUCGGAAUAACUCCCCGAAAGGGGUGCGAAUACCGGAUAAUGUCUUCGGACCAAAGAUUUAUCGCCUUUGGAUGGGCCCGCGUUGGAUUAGCUAGUUGGUAGGGUAAAAGCCUACCAAGGCGACGAUCCAUAGCUGGUCUGAGAGGAUGAUCAGCCACACUGGGACUGAGACACGGCCCAGACUCCUACGGGAGGCAGCAGUGGGGAAUAUUGGACAAUGGGCGAAAGCCUGAUCCAGCAAUGCCGCGUGAGUGAUGAAGGCCUUAGGGUUGUAAAGCUCUUUUACCCGGGAUGAUAAUGACAGUACCGGGAGAAUAAGCUCCGGCUAACUCCGUG